rnacentral:rRNA from 1 species
AUGAACGCUGGCGGCGUGCCUAAUACAUGCCAGUCGAGCGAACAGAUGAGGAGCUUGCUCCUCUGACGUUAGCGGCGGACGGGUGAGUAACACGUGGAUAACCUACCUAUAAGACUGGGAUAACUUCGGGAAACCGGAGCUAAUACCGGAUAAUAUAUUGAACCGCAUGGUUCAAUAGUGAAAGACGGUUUUGCUGUCACUUAUAGAUGGAUCCGCGCCGCAUUAGCUAGUUGGUAAGGUAACGGCUUACCAAGGCAACGAUGCGUAGCCGACCUGAGAGGGUGAUCGGCCACACUGGAACUGAGACACGGUCCAGACUCCUACGGGAGGCAGCAGUAGGGAAUCUUCCGCAAUGGGCGAAAGCCUGACGGAGCAACGCCGCGUGAGUGAUGAAGGUCUUCGGAUCGUAAAACUCUGUUAUUAGGGAAGAACAAAUGUGUAAGUAACUAUGCACGUCUUGACGGUACUUAAUCAGAAAGCCACGGCUAACUACGUG